UACGAAGGGGGCUAGCGUUGUUCGGAAUUACUGGGCGUAAAGCGCGCGUAGGCGGACUGACAAGUCGGAGGUGAAAUCCCGAAGCUUAACUUCGGAACUGCCUUCGAUACUGUCAGUCUUGAGGUCGGGAGAGGUGAGUGGAACUGCGAGUGUAGAGGUGAAAUUCGUAGAUAUUCGCAAGAACACCAGUGGCGAAGGCGGCUCACUGGCCCGAAUCUGACGCUGAGGCGCGAAAGCGUGGGGAGCAAAC
rnacentral:rRNA from 1 species